AUUGAACGCUGGCGGAAUGCUUUACACAUGCAAGUCGAACGGCAGCAUAGGUGCUUGCACCUGAUGGCGAGUGGCGAACGGGUGAGUAAUACAUCGGAACGUGCCCAGUCGUGGGGGAUAACGUAGCGAAAGUUACGCUAAUACCGCAUACGAUCUAAGGAUGAAAGCGGGGGACCGUAAGGCCUCGCGCGAUUGGAGCGGCCGAGGUAAGAUUAGGUAGUUGAUGAGGUAAAGGCUCACCAAGCCGACGAUCUGUAGCUGGUCUGAGAGGACGACCAGCCACACUGGGACUGAGACACGGCCCAGACUCCUACGGGAGGCAGCAGUGGGGAAUUUUGGACAAUGGACGCAAGUCUGAUCCAGCCAUUCCGCGUGCAGGACGAAGGCCUUCGGGUUGUAAACUGCUUUUGUACGGAACGAAAAAGCUCUUACUAAUACUAGGAGUCCAUGACGGUACCGUAAGAAUAAGCACCGGCUAACUACGUGCCAGCAGCCGCCGUAA
rnacentral:rRNA from 1 species